UACGGAGGAUUCAAGCGUUAUCCGGAUUUAUUGGGUUUAAAGGGUGCGUAGGCGGUCGGAUAAGUUAGAGGUGAAAUCCCGAGGCUCAACUUCGGAAUUGCCUCUGAUACUGUUCGGCUAGAGAGUAGUUGCGGUAGGCGGAAUGUAUGGUGUAGCGGUGAAAUGCGUAGAUAUAUGGAAGAACACCAGUGGCGAAAGCGGCUCUCUGGUCUGUAACUGACGCUGAGGUUCGAAAGCGUGGGUAGCAAACAGG
rnacentral:rRNA from 1 species